rnacentral:misc_RNA from 1 species
AACGCACGAGACCUGCGGACCUGCGGAGGGAUCAUUAUCGAAUUCAAUCCAGCUUUUCUUUGCUGUGCAUUCACUUGCACGCCGGGAAGGUUGGCUCUUUUGAAUUUACACACCUGUGCACUUCGAUCGUCUUUUUCACUCAUGCAUUCGUGCGUGAUUUUGUCUGCUCCUCGGAGUGGGAUUGGUGCGUUGCGGUGAACUCUGUUCAUAGCUCGCACUUGAAGAAGGCGUUCGCUUUUU